rnacentral:lncRNA from 1 species
GUCUGGCCAGGAGGUGGUUUCCCAACAAUUCCCUCUUGUCUGCUUGGCUCUGAAGACCACCUGAGUGGGGACAGGAAGCUUCAGUGGUUCUGCUUCAGAAGUCACCCUGGGGUCAGGAUGGAGGAGGAGGUAGAGGAGGAAGCUGGAGACCACCCUGGUGCUCUGUACCCAACCCGGAAGGAACAAACCUCAGGCGUCAAUUCUGAUCUGGGUCCAAGUGACCAUGGGUAGCCUGGAAUAGCUGCCCGAGGCAGGAACUGGAGAGGAUGCGGGUGGCCCUGCUUAAAAUGAGGGCAUCGCGCAAUGAAGUCAUGAAUGAGACUCAGGUGUGCCCCACGAGUGUGCCUGUGGGAAGAAGGGCUCUGACCAGGUCUGCGUUCCAGAGGUGGCCCGUCCCCACCAGCCAACACAUCAAUCUAAUUGGCCGCAAGGAGAAACCCUGGUAUGUGGUUUUCAAAAUGCAGAAAAUGAGAGAGAAUUGCUUCAAGGAAGCCAAGAUCCAAAAAACACUGUCAAUUACUGUUGGUUUACUGACAAGGAAGAUUUAUAGGUAAUCUUAUUUUAUAAAAAUUAUAGAGCCUCCGAG